rnacentral:lncRNA from 1 species
UUUUUUUUUUUUUUUGGUCUUUUUUUUUUUUUUCGGUCUUUUUGUCUUUUUUAGGGCUUCACCGGAGGCAUAUGGAGGUUCCCAGGCUAGGGGUCGAAUCGGAGCUGUAGCCGCCGACCUACACCACAGCUACAGUAACGUGGGAUCCGAGCUGCGUCUGUGACCUACCACAGCUCAGGGCAACACCGGAUCCUUAAGCCAUUGAGCGAGGCCAGGGAUCGAACCCGCAACCUCAUGGUUCCUAGUCAGAUUCGUUAACCACUGAGCCAGGAUGGGAACUCCCUGAAAUAUUCUUAAAUAAAUACAAUUUAACUUCUUUUACACGGAUACAGUCACGCAGAUCAAGAUAACAGAAAUAGAAUUUAUUAGGAGGCCUGUUUCCUGGAUAUUUAAGAGUGGGCUGUAUUUGGUAUUUCCAUUGUGAUUUUUUUUUUUUAAAAGAAUGUCUCUUUUAUUAUACACUUACAUAAUGUUUAUAUAGAUUUUCUUCCUUCCCUUUUUUGGGGGAGAGGGGGUGCACCUGAGGUAUGCAGAAGUUCCCGGGCCAGGAGUCAAACCUGGGCCACAGUAGUGAGAUAAGCCACAGCAGUGACAACACCAGGUCCUUAACCUGCUACGCCACCAGGGAACUCCCUUCCAUUGUGAUUUUUUUAUCAUGGUCAUUUCUGAUGUGUUCUGGCACAUUCACACUUCUUGUUCUGCUGUCUGUCUAGGCUAUUAUUUUAUUUCCCAAACCCACUUUUCCAUGUAUAAAAAUGCCUAAUUACCAAAUAGCCCUUCUUGGAAUUAGAGCUACCAUGGGGGAAGUUUCCUAUGAGCUGGCACCCUCUUGAGUAGUUACCUAGGAGACUCCAUAUUAAUCUUUGCAAAAACCCUGUGCCCAAGGAAUAGUAUUCCUUUUUUUUUUUUUUUUGCCUUUUCUAGGGCCGCUCCUGUGGCAUAUGCAGGUUCCCAGGCUAGGGGUUGAAUCAGAGCUGCAGCCGCCGGCCUACGCCAGAGCCACAGCAACGCAGGAUCCGAGACGCGUCUGCAACCUACACCACAGCUCACUGCAACGCCAGAUCCUUAACCCACUGAGCAAGGCCAGGGAUCGAACCUGCAACCUCAUGGUUCCUAGUCAGAUUCGUUAACCACUGCGCCACAGUGGGAACUCUAGUAUUCGUUUUUAGAGAGUUUUUAAAAACUGAGUCUUUGAAAGGUCACAUAUUUUGCCAAGAUAAUACUUGUAAAGGCAGGAUCCGAACUCCAGUUUGGCCGAUUGCCAGGCCACUUCCCUGGGUGAGAUCCAUAUUAAGGAAGGUUCUUAUUCUAGUCCAAAGUAGCACGAGAAAGGUAGCAUCAGCCAUUAAAUAAGGACAGGGGACAGUCCUAGUUGAGUCUGUGGACUAAGGGAGCUCUGAUAGCACAGAACAAACCUAUAGGAAUUGUUUUUUUCUUUUAAAACCUGUCUUGUUCGUACAAGAACAAGAAUAAAACAUACAUAUAUAGGCCUGAAAUCCUACUAGUAAGCAUCAUAUGGCCCUGGUAGUUUUUAGCCACCAGCCCUUGUAAUUGGUCAGACCCAAGCCAAGAAGUUGUUGACUUUUUUUAAAAAUUUUAUUGGCGUAUAGUGGACUUACAAUGUUGUGUGAGUUUCAGGUGUACAGCAAAGUGAAUCAGUUAUGCGUAUACAUACAUCCAUUCUUCCAAAAAGAUGAACACUUUUGAUGAACAUACACAACUCUCAAUCUUUGGUGCUAUAUUGACAGAUACAGAGCACGAUUAGAUUCUAAUCUUUACGAAACACAUACUAUACGGUCAACGUAAGAAAAGUUCUCUGUCAAAGUGUUUAUUUAUUUAUUUAUUUACUUUUUAGGGCCACACCUGCAGCAUGUGGACGUUCCCAGGCUUAGGGGUCACAUCAGAGCUGCAGCUGCCGGCCUACACCACAGCCACAGCCACACUGGAUCCUUAACCCGCUGAGCGAGGCCGAGGAUUGAACCUGCAUCCUCAUGGACACUAGUCGUGUUCGUUACUGCUGAGCCACAAGGGGAGCUCCCUAACUUUAAAAAUUUUAUUGGUGUAUAGUUGCCUUACAACAUUGUGUUAGUUUCAAAGUGUUCUUUUAAAUUUUUUUUCUCAUUUUUUUUCAAAGUUUUACCGAGGAGUGUACAUGUAUAAAUGGAAUCACUUUGUUGUUGUACUGCAGAAACUGUCAUGAUAUUGUAAACCACCUUCAAGACGUUGUUGAAUAUUUUGAACAUUCACAUCCUGAAGGAGUUUGCGAGGCAAGUGUUCCCACAGGUUGGGCUUCCCUUUCUCCCAGCUCCCACUCCUCCCCACCUCCAGGCCCUACCCUCGUGGAGGUUCUUUUGGUUCACGUCCACUUUGCUGCCUGAACAAGGAACCUCAGAACAGAGUUCAAGGUGACUGCCAAGUGCAGGGGGCCCUGUGGGAACCCUUAGAUCCCGUCCGGGACAUCACCAGUGGCUGGGCUCCUCUGUCACCUGUUUUAGGCCUGCAUCUACCUCCUUUCAGUAAAAAAUAAAACACAUCAUCGCUGGUAACUCACAAAGCGUGGACCUCUCCUGGAUCUCUUAGUGCCUGACCCUGUUGGCAGCUCAGUUGCUUAGCUGGGGUGGUUAGCAAACAUUGGGUGCUCGUGUCUGUAGAUUCUGGAAGGCAGG